GAGCCCGGAUAGCUCAGUCGGUAGAGCA
rnacentral:piRNA from 6 species